UACGUAGGGUGCGAGCGUUAAUCGGAAUUACUGGGCGUAAAGCGUGCGCAGGCGGUCUCGUAAGCUGGGUGUGAAAGCCCCAAGCUUAACCUGGGAAUGGCAUUCAAGACUGCGAGGCUCGAGUAUGACAGAGGGAGGUGGAAUUCCACAUGUAGCAGUGAAAUGCGUAGAGAUAUGGAGAAACACCGAUAACGAAGACAGCCUCCUAAACCAGCACUGACGCUCAAGCACGAAAGCGUGGGGAGCAAACAGG
rnacentral:rRNA from 1 species